rnacentral:rRNA from 1 species
GACGAACGCUGGCGGCGUGCUUAACACAUGCAAGUCGAACGGAAAGGCCCUGCUUUUGUGGGGUGCUCGAGUGGCGAACGGGUGAGUAACAAGUGAGUAACCUGCCCUUGACUUUGGGAUAACUUCAGGAAACUGGGGCUAAUACCGGAUAGGAGCUCCUGCUGCAUGGUGGGGGGUGGAAAGGUUCGGCGGUUGGGGAUGGACUCGCGGCUUAUCAGCUUGUUGGUGGGGGGGUGGCUUACCAAGGCUUUGACGGGUAGCCGGCCUGGGAGGGUGACCGGCCACAUUGGGACUGAGAUACGGCCCAGACUCCUACGGGAGGCAGCAGUGGGGAAUAUUGCACAAUGGGCGGAAGCCUGAUGCAGCAACGCCGCGUGCGGGAUGACGGCCUUCGGGUUGUAAACCGCUUUCGCCUGUGACGAAGCGUGAGUGACGGUAAUGGGUAAAGAAGCACCGGCUAACUACGUG